AUGUGUGCACACACAUCACUCACCCCAGUGUGCACACACAUCACUCACCCCAGAGGGCACACACAUCACUCACCCCAAUAUGUACACACAUCACUCACCUCAGAGUGCACACACAUCACUCACCCUAGUGUGCACACACAUCACUCACCCAAGAGUACACACACCACAUCACUCACCUCAGAGUGCACACACAUCACUCACCCUAGCGUGCACACACAUCACUCACCCCAGUGUGCACACAUAUCACUCACCCCAGUGUGUACACACAUCAUUCAUCCCAGAGUGCACACACAACACUCACCCCAGUGUGCACACACCACAUCACUCACUCCAGUGUGCACAAACAUCACUCACCCCAGAGUGCACACACAUCACUCACCCCAGAGUGCACACACAUCACUCACCCCAGUGUGCACACACAUCACUCACCUCAGAGUGCACACUCACCCCAGUGUGCACGCACCACAUCACUCACUCCAGUGUGCACACACUGCAUCGUUCAUCCCAGUGUGCACGCACCUCAUCGCUCACCCCAGUGUGCACUCACCACAUCACUCACCCCAUUGUGCACACACAUCCCUCACCCCAGUGUGUACACACAUCACUCACCCCAGAGUGCACACGCAUCACUCACCCCAGUGUGCAGACACCACAUCACUCACCCCAGUGUGCCCACACAUCACUCACCCCAGUGUGCACACAUCACUCACCCCAGUGUGCACACACAUCACUCACCCCAGUGUGCACGCACCACAUCACUCACCCCAGUGUGCACGCACCACAUCACUCACCCCAGUGUGCACAUAUCACUCACCCCAGUGUGCACACAUCACUCACCCCAGUGUGCACACACAUCACUCUCCCCAGUGUGCACGCACCACAUCACUCUCCCCAGUGUGCACACACUGCAUCGCUCACCCUAGUGUGGACGCACCACAUCACUCACCCAGUUUGCAGACACCACCCACCUGCAUCCACCCAGCCCUGAGGUGGCUGCCUGUCCCCUCCUCUCUGCCUCCUUAG
rnacentral:lncRNA from 1 species